UACGGAGGGUGCAAGCGUUGUCCGGACUUAUUGGGUUUAAAGGGUGCGUAGGCGGCCUUUUAAGUCAGCGGUGAAAGUUUAUGGCUCAACCAUGAAAUUGCCGUUGAUACUGGGGGGCUUGAGUGUUGCUGGGGUACAUGGAAUUUAUGGUGUAGCGGCGAAAUGCAUAGAUACCAUAAGGAACACCGAUAGCGAAGGCACUGUACUUAUCAGCAACUGACGCUGAGGCACGAAAGCGCGGGUAGCGAACAGG
rnacentral:misc_RNA from 1 species